AGAGUUUGAUCCUGGCUCAGGACGAACGCUGGCGGCGCGCCUAACACAUGCAAGUCGAACGGAGCUUAGAGAGCUUGCUUUUUAAGCUUAGUGGCGAACGGGUGAGUAACGCGUGAGUAACCUGCCCUAGAGUGGGGGACAACAGUUGGAAACGACUGCUAAUACCGCAUAAGCCCACGGUGCCGCAUGACACUGAGGGAAAAGGAUUUAUUCGCUUUAGGAUGGACUCGCGUCCAAUUAGCUAGUUGGUGAGGUAACGGCCCACCAAGGCGACGAUUGGUAGCCGGACUGAGAGGUUGAACGGCCACAUUGGGACUGAGACACGGCCCAGACUCCUACGGGAGGCAGCAGUGGGGGAUAUUGCACAAUGGGGGAAACCCUGAUGCAGCGACGCCGCGUGGAGGAAGAAGGUUUUCGGAUUGUAAACUCCUGUCGUUAGGGACGAUAAUGACGGUACCUAACAAGAAAGCACCGGCUAACUACGUGCCAGCAGCCGCGGUAAAACGUAGGGUGCAAGCGUUGUCCGGAAUUACUGGGUGUAAAGGGAGCGCAGGCGGGAAGACAAGUUGGAAGUGAAAACCAUGGGCUCAACCCAUGAAUUGCUUUCAAAACUGUUUUUCUUGAGUAGUGCAGAGGUAGGUGGAAUUCCCGGUGUAGCGGUGGAAUGCGUAGAUAUCGGGAGGAACACCAGUGGCGAAGGCGGCCUACUGGGCACCAACUGACGCUGAGGCUCGAAAGCAUGGGUAGCAAACAGGAUUAGAUACCCUGGUAGUCCAUGCCGUAAACGAUGAUUACUAGGUGUUGGAGGAUUGACCCCUUCAGUGCCGCAGUUAACACAAUAAGUAAUCCACCUGGGGAGUACGACCGCAAGGUUGAAACUCAAAGGAAUUGACGGGGGCCCG
rnacentral:rRNA from 1 species